GCCCGAAGUCGCUGAGCUAACCGUAAGGAAGCAGGCGCCGAAGGUCAACUUGAUGAUUGGGACUAAGUCGUAACAAGGUAGCCGUAGGGGAACCUGCGGCUGGAUCACCUCCUUU
rnacentral:rRNA from 1 species